AGCCGCUUUGUCCAAGAGGCAAGUCCAGUAGCAGAACUCAGAAACGACUCUUCCGCUUCGAGAAAUCGAGACUGCUCGUCCCCGGCGGCGGCCGCCGGCCGCCUCCUCCUGCCACGCCUUCUCCUUCCUCUCCGGCCGCCUCCUCCUCCUGCCGUCCCCGCCUCCUCCCUCUUCUUCCGCCACUGCCUCCUCCACCUGCUUCAUGGAGUCGCCGCUGCUCCAAGAAGGUGAGCAGCCACAGCCUCGCCCUCCUUCCGCUGCAUCCUCCCUCCAUCCAAUCCCGUCCGAAGGGCGCCGCCUCGUGGAGCUGCCGUUGCCAUACAUGGAUGCCGUCGAGGAGGAGAAGAUGAAUGUGGAGCAGCAGGUGUCUCCCGUAGAGGAAUACCACACCACGCCUGAGGGAUGUGUUCAGCUCCCCCCAAAAUCCCAAAAAAGGUUACGCUUCUUUCUCUCCAAUUCAAUUUUCAGUUUGGUUUUGCAACUUAAGUAGCCAUUGUGCAAAUCGAGGAAAGAAGAGAAAGCAAAAAAUCUGGAAGAGAAGAGGAGGAAGAAACAGCAGGAGAAGAGGAGAAAGUUGGAAAGAGAAGAGGAGAAAUAACAAGGAGAAGGAAAAAAAGUUGCAACAAAAGAAGAAUAAGGAUGGUACUUCUCCUUCAGCUAUACAUUGCAACAAGAAAGUUAGAUCCCCAAUAUGUAGGUCUCCAGGGGUGAAUAUUGUUGUAAUAUAAUAAAAUCCUUACAUGGGCCGGGCCGCGAUCCUACGUGGCAACGACCAAGUCAACAAAUCCCGAAGACCGGUCAAAUCGCCAACAAGGCCUAGCCAUGCCAACUAAGCGCCGGUCAAAGGAGUCAAAAGGUCAAGCCCCCCAUACCAUGGUCAAAGGAGCUAGAGUAAGAGCCAAGAAAGCUCUAGGAGCAAAGUUACCACCUUACCCUCACUUUUUCUCUCUCUCAAGGAUAACCAUGGUCUUUUGUCAUGAACCCCUAGGCUAUAAAUACCCCCUCAUGGGGGCAUGUAUCAUUCAUUCUCUCCAUUGGAAUAAGAUCAAAGGGGAGAGGACUAGAGCAACUCAAGGAGCCCGCUCUCGAGUGCUUGGGUCGAGCCUAGUCUCGACUCGACCUCAGGGACGUGACUUGAGAAGCCUAGUUUCGGCCCAAGCGCUUGGCUAACAACCCCCUCGAAGCCUCUCCUAACAUAGUACUAAGUCGUGCCCGCAGGGUCGACCGAACCUAUUCAAAAAAUAUCGACGUGUCAACUUGUCCAAGUGUACGGCGACCUUCGCUAUAAGGCCGGCGUACACCCCCUACAUAUUAUUCUCGCAUUUGUGCCAUCGUGCAUUGGCACCCCGUAAUCCUGUUGUUUUCUAGAACAACAACAAAUAUGAUGAGAACAUUCAAAAGGAGAUCUUCAGAUGCAUUACGUAAAAGAUCCAACAAAAGUCCCAACUCUCAUAUAUUGGAUGAAACACCUAAAUCUCGAGCAAACUCCUUGUCUCCAAGAUCAGCAGCAUAUCAAAAUGACUGCCAACAACAACUCUUGCUGCCAAACCACGCAAAUUGAGGUCUAAAGCUUGGGUCGAUUUUGAUCCUAUCUAUGAGAGAGGAUGCAUUUUCUCGGUCACAAAUUCAUCUAAUGGUCGAUAAGCUAAAGACUUCUGUUUCAUCUCCUGAUGCAUCCUUAGUUAAACAGUGGGAUUUUGAUCAAGGAGUUUCUAGAAGAUUGCUCGCUGAAAUGAUUGUCUUGAAUGACCUACCAUUUUCCUUUGUGGAGUAUUCUGGUUUUAGAAAAUUUGCAAAGAGCUUGAAUCCUGCGUUUCAUAUGGUUCAUCGAACCACUAUUAGCAGCAAUUGCUCAAGGAUAUAUCAUGAACAUAGGUCAGCUCUGCGUGACUUCUUUAAGCAAUAUAAGGGCAGGGUAUCCUUAACUGUUGAUUUAUGGACAUCGAACUAGAAAAUUGGAUAUGUUUGUAUUACUUGCCAUUAUGUUCAUGAGUGCAAGUUACAAAAAAGGAUAAUAAGAUUUUGUCGAUUGGAAACUCCACAUGAUGGAUGGUCAUUAUAUAAUGUUGUGCUGAAAAGUAUUCAAGAUUGGAGCAUUGAUGAUAAGUUAUUUGGUAUAACACUAGAUAACGCAUCCGUUAAUGGUGCCAUGGUUAGAUAUUUGAAAGAAAAUGAGUUGGUAAAGUAGAUGCUGCCAUGCAGCGGUGAUUUGCUACAUUUUAGAUGUGUUGCACACAUAAUAAAUCUCAUUGUUCAAGAUGGCCUUGAUGCUAUGGUGGGGAUAAUCGAUAAUAUAAGGGAAAGUGUCUUAUUUAUCAACAGCAAUCCAUCGAGAAAAGAGAGGUUUGAUGAAAUCUGUGGAAGGUACGGAAUUUCUGGUGUGGCUCGUCCUUCACAUGAUGUUCCUCAUCCAUGGAACUCUACCCUUUUGAUGCUUCAAUCUUCGGUUCCAUUUAUAAAAGCUUUCCUUGCACUGGAAAAGGAGGAUUCGAGCUACAUCUAUUGCCCGUCACCUAAAGAAUGGAGAAAAGCGGCUGCUGUUUGCAAUCUGUUGAAAGGAUUUUAUGAAGCCACAAAUAUUCUCUCUGGAUCUAGCUAUCCCACUUCACACCUCUUCUUUACACAGAUGUGGAAUAUUAAGUGUCUUUUGCAAAAACAAGCUUCAAACCCAUAUAACUUUGUUCGAGAGAUGGUUGAUGAGAUGAUAACGAAGUUUGCUAAAUAUUGGGAUGAGUGCUUUGAUAUCAUUAUGCAUACCUGUCAUCUUUGAUCCUAGAUUCAAGCUGGGUUACAUUGUGUUUCGAAUGGAGAAGUGGUUAGGAGCUGUUCGAGCAAAGAAAGUUAUAGUUGUUGUGGAAGAUACUGUCAUAAGUUUAUUCCAUGAUUAUUCAGCUAAGAUGGGAGGUAUGCUCAGUGGUACAACACAAGAAGAAGACGCUAAUGCUGUGGAGAUGGAAGAUGACCAGAUUGGGACCAGCAUUUGAGUGCUCAGCAGCAGGAAAGCCAACAAUGAAUUGGAUAGAUACUUAAAAGAGGACAAAUUCCCAUGCAAUGUUCCGUUCGAUAUUCUUCAAUGGUGGGACAUGCACUCUGCAAAGUAUCCUAUUUUGUCGUGCAUUGCUCGUGACAUUCUUGCUGUACAAGCUUCAAUGGUAUCAUCGGAGUCAGCCUUUAGUACAAGAGGACGAGUGAUAAGUGAUUAUAGAAGUAGACUUGCCCCCGAUACAGUUGAGGAGGUAAUUUGCCUUCAAAAUUGGCUAAAGGCUGAAAAUCCUGAUUACCAAACGGAUCAUGAUGCAAAUUAUAUAAUUUGAGCAAACUAGGCAUUUUACAAAGGAUUCCGCUGGUCCAUGACUCAGAUUCUGUUGCAAUACUCAUUCAAGACUAGAGCGGGACUCAUGACGGCUGCCUCACAAUUCACCGCUUCAAAAUUGUCGCAACCUCGGACAUGAUUCACUGACAUAGAGAACUGGACACUUGGUUUUGCAUUGACAUUUAGGUUCAGAAAAACUCAACAAGUGUUGUGUUCUGUCAGCUAAACUUGAUCAAUAUGUGUUGGCAUAUGAGGUUUUAAAUUUUCUCGGCAGCUAUUGUGUUGAUCAGGAACUCUUGUGUUAAUUAUUGUUAAUUACUGUUGUCUGAAACCCGAGAUUGUUAAAAAUACUACAGCUGGAACUUCCUGUCAGCAACUUUGCCUUGAUAAAUAGUAGAUAGCUAACCUGAGAUUGUUAAUUA